UCUGGCUAGCCAAAUUUUGUUGACUGAUAUUUCCUUGUGGUAUCACCAAUUGUCUAUGAUUUUUAAAAAAGCUAAAAGUCUGUUGUCAAUUUAUGUCAUCCAUUCAAAUUGUUCGCGGUAUAUAAGCGGUUUAUUUGAAAAAAUAUUAAUAAUGACUAUACCGAGUGAGGUCCGGAACCUAUUAUUUAAACUCGCAAACAAUUACGGUAAUGUGCGCAGUCGCCAAGAAGCGUUAUAUAAAGAAAAACUGCAAUGUUUACAAGUCGUAAGCAAUUUAGUAGGUUGGUGCUCUAAUAUUUUGAUACUUUAAGUAGGUACUAGUUCUAAAAUUUGCCUAUAAGUUUGAUUAAGUACGUAAAUUUAUUAAUGCCUGAAUCUCAUAAACAGGACAAGUGUGUAAAGAAACGGUUAAAUUAGAAAUUCUGGAAAAUAUCAACAAAAUCAAAACAUUGGAACGUAAGGAGUUAUUUACUGAAAACCAAUAUUUAGAAGAAAUCUGUGGAGUGACUGGUACCUUACGUGUGCACAGAAAAUCAAAAAUAUUUUCUAGUAUCAAAACUAUAAUUCCUACUACACAAAGUGUGACCAGCCCAAGAUUUUUUGAAUUUCCCGCCAAA